CCCCCUUUCAAGGGCAGGCGGCAAACCAUGUCGUGUAGCAUGACCAGCCCCCAUUCACGAGGGGAGAGGGCUGAAUGAACAGACAAGUGACUCGAGAAGUGGCAAACCAUGGUUCUGAGGACCAGGGGGGAUACCACUUAGUGAUCCCACAGGCUUCUGUUUGGAGAACAAGCAUAGAAACGCAAGACUUUUUUUUGAAAAGGGCUACGGCCAGCAGGCAAGGGGUGGCAACAGCAUUUCCCACCCCACCAUUCACAGAGAAAUCCAGUUCUGACUCCCCGGUGGGGGAGCUUCCUUCUCUUGUCCAAAGGCUUCGAGGGGAGAAGUUCCCUGCCCUGUUGGUUCCAUGGAAGUUACGCAAGGUGCCCGUUCACAGGUCUACAGUGAGGGUGCAAAUACUCCUACCUGGAGCAGGUGGCCUCAAAGGGCUAAGCAGGAGAGGCCAGGGAGGCUCCACAGAAGCAACCAAUGCCAAAUUGCAAGCCCAGAGGAGGUGCUACUGCAGAGUUGGCCUUCACCUGUUGGCACCUGGCCACACACACACCUGUGUGGACGUGGAGCCACUCAAGUCUAUCGCGCUGGUCCAGCCUUCAAACGAGGGCGUGCUGGCAGUUGAGCCUCUUGGCUGGAGGAGCCCAGCAGGAGCCUCGGGAGGUGGGAAGACCACCGGAGCCAGGUGGUUUCGGAGCAGCCCGCUUUGGCCGGGAGGGAACCGGCGGCCCUCUGCCCACCCUGCGCUCCUGCCAGAGGUUUCCAGCGGGGGGAGCCCGUUGGGCCCAAUGGGCAGGAGGGAAGAAGCGGCUCCGGUGCGGCUGCUCUUGGGCGGGCGGGAUCCGCCUCUUCGCCUCCGCCCAGAGCAGCGGACAGGCGCCCGGGGGCUGCGGAGCCGCUCGGGNAGCGGCUCCGGUGCGGCUGCUCUUGGGCGGGCGGGAUCCGCCUCUCUUCGCCUCCGCCCAGAGCAGCGGACAGGCGCCCGGGGGCUGCGGAGCCGCUCGGGCUCGGCUCGGCGCUCGGCUCCCUCUGCUUGGCCGGGCCGAGCGGCAGCGACUCCCGGCCCAGGGAGGCUUCCAGCCCCGCCAGCGGCUCGGCGGCCCCCCGCGCGCGCCCGGUCUCCUUGGCGACGGGGACGCGGCGGCGGAGCGAGCGAGCGAGGCCGGAGCGGCGCCCGCGAUGCGCCCCGAGCGUGGUAGGCAUGCAGGGUCGGACUCCGCCUCGGGCACCUGCGCACGGCAGCGACGCGGGCAAGGCGAGCGGCCGGCGGCCCUGCGCGCGGCGCCCGGCCCGGCCGACGCCCCCCGCCGGCCUCGAGGCGGGCGGGCGCCGGACUGGAGCGAAGCCUGCAGUUCCUGCAGCAGCAACACGGGCGAGACCUCCGGCAGCUGCACCAGGAGAUCGACCGGCUGAAGCGGCGCAAACGGGUGCGGGGGGGGGGGCGGGGGGGCGCCCUGACCCUCCCCGCCCCCCGCUGACCCGCCCGCCUUUUUCCCCU
rnacentral:lncRNA from 1 species